GGCUAAAUCACUAGUUAACUAUUUUCAUCAUGGAAGUUAUACAGCUCAUGUAUCACACUUAAUAUUGAAUAUAUAUAAAAAGGGUUUUCCAAAAGGACCAUUUAUAAUCGAAAUACACAACUUCACACACGAUUUUGAGCACAACAGAGCGCUCAGUGAACAUCACUUCCGGGACCUGCAUCACCGGAGGGGGACAUCUAUCUUGGUCACAAACAAUCUUUGACAGUCUUCGACAGCAUGGUUGAAUCAGGUGAGCAUAAAAUGGAGUUUAACGUAAUUAAAUAGACCAAUGUUUUUUAACAUAGGAAAAUAGUUCAUUAUAAUCAACAGUUAAAUGUUGUUGUUAUUAAUUGCAAUCAGAUUUGAUUUUAUGAGGUUAAAUUAAGCAUUUCAGUUCUGGGCCAAGGCCAAGGCAUUUAACAUUUUUUUUUUAAAGUUGCAUGGAAGAUUAUAAGUAGCAGUGAUUGUCACACACUAGGUGUGGUGAAAUUAUUCUCUCCAUUUGACCCAUCACCCUUGAUCACUAUGCUAGUAAACAUUUUCUUAAUUUUAAACAAGACAGACUAGAGUUCUUCAAAUUGUUUAUACUUUUUGUCAAAUACAAAUAUUUCAAGCUGAUAAGCACUGUGGAGUAGGCAUGUUACUGAUAUUGUUACAUUACUACUUUGUUUGAGAAGCUUCAUGUCUGCAUUGAGCCUAAAUUUAACAGUUUUUGAAGGGUUUAGUUCUUUGUUUUAUUUCUGUGUCACUGACUUUUUUCAUUUUUAUGUGUGGAUUUGUUAGGCGCAUCAACACAUGAUAUAGACAUCGUGUCCAAAAGAAGAGCGAGACGUAAUCCUGAGGCUGAAGCCACCGAGUUUAUUUGAUCUGGAUGUGACAAGUCUUGUUUUAAGGCCCAGUGGAUCAAUGAUUGGAAAGACACCAACUGUUGAUGUUCUAUCUCAACAUUCUCCAGAUUCAUGUGAGCGAUAAACCGACUUCAUCCCUCCAACAGACACCAACUGUUGGGGUUCUAUCUCAACAUUCUCCAGAUUCAGAUGUGAGCGAUAAACCG